AAGAGAAUAAAUAAAUUAGCUGCUAACUAAAUUAAAAGCGAAUAAAUAGUCGUUUUUCUCUUU
rnacentral:tRNA from 1 species